UACAGAGGGUGCGAGCGUUGUCCGGAAUCACUGGGCGUAAAGGGCGCGUAGGCGGCUUUUCAAGCGUGCGGUGAAAGCUCGGGGCUUAACUCCGAGUCUGCCGUGCGAACUGGGAGGCUUGAGUCUGGUAGAGGUCGAUGGAAUUCCGGGUGUAGCGGUGGAAUGCGUAGAGAUCAGGAAGAACAUCGGUGGCGAAGGCGCUCUGCUGGACCAUAACUGACACUCAGGGACGAAAGCUAGGGGAGCGAAUGGG
rnacentral:rRNA from 1 species